GGAAACGAAAGAGUUCCGGUUCCGGGGGUAGUAUGGUUGCAAAGCUGAAACUUAAAGGAAUUGACGGAAGAGCACCACCAGGAGUGGAGCCUGCGGCUUAAUUUGACUCAACACGGGAAAACUCACCCGGCCCGGACACCGUAAGGAUUGACAGACUGAAAGCUCUUUCUUGAUUCGGUGGUUGGUGGUGCAUGGCCGUUCUUAGUUGGUGGAGCGAUUUGUCUGGUUAAUUCCGAUAACGAGCGAGACUCUAGCCUACUAAAUAGUUAAGGGAUUAUUUCGUCCCUUUAACUUCUUAGAGGAAUUGGCGGUAUUGAAUCGCAUGAAAUAGAGCAAUAACAGGUCUGUGAUGCCCUUAGAUGUCCGGGGCUGCACGCGUGCUACACUGGAGUCCGCACGUGUUCCAUGGCCGAAGGGUCAUUGGUAAACCGUUUAAACGACUCCGUGAUCGGGAUAGGGAAUUGCAAUUAUUUCCCCUUCAAC
rnacentral:rRNA from 1 species